rnacentral:rRNA from 1 species
AUAACAGCUGGAAACGACUGCUAAUACCGCAUAAGCGCACGAGGAGACAUCUCCUAGUGUGAAAAACUCCGGUGGUACAGGAUGGGCCCGCGUCUGAUUAGCUGGUUGGCAGGGUAACGGCCUACCAAGGCAACGAUCAGUAGCCGGUCUGAGAGGAUGAACGGCCACAUUGGAACUGAGACACGGUCCAAACUCCUACGGGAGGCAGCAGUGGGGAAUAUUGCACAAUGGGGGAAACCCUGAUGCAGCAACGCCGCGUGAGUGAAGAAGUAUUUCGGUAUGUAAAGCUCUAUCAGCAGGGAAGAUAAUGACGGUACCUGACUAAGAAGCUCCGGCUAAAUACGUGCCAGCAGCCGCGGUAAUACGUAUGGAGCAAGCGUUAUCCGGAUUUACUGGGUGUAAAGGGUGCGUAGGUGGCAGUGCAAGUCAGAUGUGAAAGGCCGGGGCUCAACCCCGGAGCUGCAUUUGAAACUGCUCGGCUAGAGUACAGGAGAGGCAGGCGGAAUUCCUAGUGUAGCGGUGAAAUGCGUAGAUAUUAGGAGGAACACCAGUGGCGAAGGCGGCCUGCUGGACUGUUACUGACACUGAGGCACGAAAGCGUGGGGAGCAAACAGGAUUAGAUACCCUGGUAGUCCACGCCGUAAAC